UUUAUUUUCCGUUCCGUUCCGCAAAGUACCAAUUGCUCUGAGGAAUUGUAUUUAACGAAAAAAACGGAAACAGACAUUUUAAAUGUAAUUAAAGCAGUAUGAUAAAAAAAUGUCUGACACCUCUUUUUGCAUUAAAUUACCAAUUCCUCAGAGCAAUUGUAUUUGGCGGAACGGAACGGAAAGGAAA
rnacentral:sRNA from 1 species